UACGGGGGGGGCAAGCGUUGUUCGGAAUUACUGGGCGUAAAGGGCUCGUAGGCGGCCAUCCAAGUCGGAUGUGAAAUCCCCAGGCUUAACCUGGGAACUGCAUCCGAUACUGGAUGGCUUGAAUCCGGGAGAGGGAUGCAGAAUUCCAGGUGUAGCGGUGAAAUGCGUAGAUAUCUGGAGGAAUACCGGUGGCGAAGGCGGCAUCCUGGACCGGCAUUGACGCUGAUGAGCGAAAGCUAGGGGAGCAAACGGG
rnacentral:rRNA from 1 species